rnacentral:rRNA from 1 species
CCUACGGGAGGCAACAGUAAGGAAUAUUGGUCAAUGGGCGGAAGCCUGAACCAGCCAUGCCGCGUGCAGGAAGACGGCCCUAUGGGUUGUAAACUGCUUUUGUACCGGAAUAAACCCCCGAACGUGUUCGGGGCUGAAUGUACGGUAAGAAUAAGGAUCGGCUAACUCCGUGCCAGCAGCCGCGGUAAUACGGAGGAUCCGAGCGUUAUCCGGAUUUAUUGGGUUUAAAGGGUGCGUAGGCGGCCUGUUAAGUCAGGGGUGAAAGACGGUAGCUCAACUAUCGCAGUGCCUUUGAUACUGACGGGCUUGAAUGUACUUGAGGUAGGCGGAAUGUGACAAGUAGCGGUGAAAUGCAUAGAUAUGUCACAGAACACCAAUUGCGAAGGCAGCUUACUAAGGUAUGAUUGACGCUGAGGCACGAAAGCGUGGGGAUCAAACAGGAUUAGAUACCCUGGUAGUCCACGCCCUAAACGAUGAAUACUCGAUGUUGGCGAUAUACGGCCAGCGUCUAAGCGAAAGCGUUAAGUAUUCCACCUGGGGAGUACGCCGCAAGGGUGAAACGUCAAAGGAAUUGAGGCUUGAGNGNGCGAGACGACGACGAGGAGAGG